CUUGAUGCAGGUGCGUCUGGACCCUCACGUCCCACCUUCACGGCUGUGACCAUGCACCCAUGCAGAUGAAACACUUCUUGGCCAUAGUAAACAUCCAGUAAGUGGUAGUGGUUUUUAAAGCGAUGUUUUCUUACACUUUGGUCUUUAAAAAAAAAAAAAAAAAAAAGGACCCCAUUUUCUUCCUCCUCACUGCUUACUCUCAUGAAAACAACACUUCAAUUUCUGCAUGCUUCUAUUUUUGAAGAUCCAGACCUGUUUGCCAGUGACCAUCUUGCACUUCUGUGGCUUGUGACUAACUGCUUCAAAAGGCCCAACUCCUCCUGUGCUGGGGCUGAGCCAGAGCUGAGGAGCUGCAGCUGGGGCCAUCAGAGACAAAUUAAUAGCUCCCGUCUUCUGGCUGCUCUGCAGAUCUCUUACGCUCGAUGAGAAAAGAGGAAGGUGGGUUUUCACUGAGGUCAGAUGCUAGCUGUCUACUUAGUGGAAAUUGGCCAUGUCUGACUUCCCCCUCCCUCUGUCGCUGAGCUCUGACCCCCAACCUCUGCUCAUCUCCAGUCCUCUGUAGAUUCACUUAGGUCAGAGCAUCGUGUCUAUUUGCUCAUAGCCACAUGGACUGAAGAGUUCUAGUGAGAAGUAGCUGGUGGAGAGAUGGGGCACAGGGGUGGCGGGGGGAGUUCAGUCUGUCUAAUGAAUUCUUCACCCCUCAUGUGGACUUAGGGAAAAGAAUUUUUUGAGAGAGAGAGACAAGAUCUUACAUAGCUCAGGCUGGCCUCAAACUUGCUGUGUAGCCGAGGACGACUUUGAAUUCCCGUUCUUUCUGCCUGUACCUCUGCAGUGCUUG
rnacentral:lncRNA from 1 species